rnacentral:misc_RNA from 1 species
AGAAGCGCCAGAGAAUUCCCACCAACAAUGGGGCCGCUCAAGUUUACUAGUCUUACACGAGUGCCCGGUGGCUAGUAAACUUUUUCCUACCAAAUUCAAAAAGUACUACUACAAAUUAGAGUGGAAUUUAAAUUAAAAAAAAAAAAAAGGAACAAAUUAGAAAGAAUGAAGCUUGUUGCAUUCUCAUGUUUCUGGUGCUCGUUACUUCAUUUGAAUGUAUAUUCUUUCAUUGAAUAUUGGAAGUCUUAUGUGCAAUAGUCAAACUUUUUCUUGUUUAGAAGCUUAAAAAAUGUGUUUGUUCAAUAAAAGCUCUUCCUUAUUUAUCAUCAAA